rnacentral:misc_RNA from 1 species
GGUGAAUCAUCGAAUCUUUGAACGCAUCUUGCGCUCCUUGGCAUUCCUUGGAGCAUGCCUGUUUGAGUAUCAUGAGCAAAUCUCAAAGUCAAUUCCUUAAUUGGUUUUGCUUUGGACUUGGAGGUCUUGCAGAUUUCACAGUCUGCUCCUCUUAAAUGCAUUAGCUGGAUCUCAGUAAUUAUGCUUGGUUCCACUCGGCGUGAUAAGUAUCACUCGCUGAGGACACUGUUAAAAAGGUGGCCAGGAAAAUACUGAUUGAACCGCUUCUAACGGUCUAUUAAGUUAGACAAUUGACCCUUAAGUUUGAUCUCAAAUCAGGUAGGACUACCCGCUGAACUUAA